CAUGGGUUCUCUAGUACGCCGUGGAUUACUAUUGCGGGGGACAAAGGUGCGGGACUUAAAUGCAAGGAUGCCGGUGAAGAUAGUUUUGUUGGUUCAGAACUUGCGAGGAGAAUAGCCAAGACGGCUCCCAUCAUUGGAGGUUCUGAGGCCUCUUCCCUUUUGUCUGGUCGAAAAGGAACAGUUUUGGAUUUGGCGAAGUUUGUCGACAAGGGUCUCCAAAUCAAGUUGACUGGUGGAAGACAAGCUUUCACGACGAUCGGGUUCAAGUAAUUUGGAGUAUGAGUCUUUUGCACUAGAGUAUCAACCCUCCUGGGUUCUCCAAGAAUCGGCAGCCAUCUAUGUAAAGAGUCUAUUGUAAAUAAGAAUUAAGUGUGUAUGGUAGUACUUCGGCCUUCUUUGUAUUGUGGCUCCAAUAAGACCGCCUUGUUUCUUAGCCAAAGAAAUAAAAAUUUUGAUCCGAAAUCAAUUUCCAGUUGUA